GAUGAACGCUAGCUACAGGCUUAACACAUGCAAGUCGAGGGGUAGCAGGGUAGCAAUACCGCUGACGACCGGCGCACGGGUGAGUAACACGUAUCCAACCUUCCCAUAACUCGGGGAUAGCCUUUCGAAAGAAAGAUUAAUACCCGAUAGUACUUUUUCAAGGCGUCUUGAGAAAGUUAAAGAUUUAUUGGUUAUGGAUGGGGAUGCGUUCCAUUAGAUAGUUGGUGAGGUAACGGCUCACCAAGUCUUCGAUGGAUAGGGGUUCUGAGAGGAAGGUCCCCCACAUUGGUACUGAGACACGGACCAAACUCCUACGGGAGGCAGCAGUGAGGAAUAUUGGUCAAUGGGCGAGAGCCUGAACCAGCCAAGUAGCGUGAAGGAUGAAGGUCUUAUGGAUUGUAAACUUCUUUUAUGGUAGAAUAAAGUGAUCCACGUGUGGAUUUUUGUAUGUAUACUAUGAAUAAGGAUCGGCUAACUCCGUGCCAGCAGCCGCAGUAACAC
rnacentral:rRNA from 1 species